rnacentral:tRNA from 1 species
UUAAUUGAAACCAAAUUAGAGGUAUAUCACUGUUAAUGAUAAAAUUGAAUAUA